GUUCCUGCCAAUACAAUUGAACCCUGAGCCUUUACUCAACAACCAGGGUGACCCGAGGCUCCCAGCAACCCCUAGCUCCAGGGUCCACAUACGUCAUGUCCCCCACUGAACCCCAGGGAAGACUGAAACUCAAAGGAGACCAGAGAGUUUCUGCAAGCCGGAAAGGUGUGAAACAGAUGCUGGGGUGGAGAGUCCCAGAGGAUGGGGAUAGACCUGUGCAAGUUUCUGCCACCAAUUUGUGGAUUCAAGUUUGAUCCCUCAUUUGCAAAUGUCUGUGUAAAAGACUCCAUUUCCCAUUGAACUCAAUGGAACAUGACUUAGCUGGCUGGACAAAGCAUCCUGAGGAGAAUAGCAGCUUGCCCGGGACAUCACAGGAAACUUACAGGACCCCUAAAUGAGUCCCACUGCUCAAAGGCAGGAGGACUGUGUGGAGGGACGGGAUCCCACAGCCACACCAAGAAAGCCUCUUCAGACCCUGAGAAAGAAGAGAGAGGCAGGGAGAGCACAAGUGCUGCUUGGCUCAUUUCAACCAGGGGCUCCUGAAGGAUUGCAGAGCACUGCAGAGGCACUCCAUGUACUGAAACAGCUGAACCACAAGAGGAGUUCCCUGAGGCUCUUGCCGCUGGUCAGCACUGCUCAAGUGACACACAACGCAUUCCCAACUCCCAACUCCCUCUUUCCUUGCCUUUUUCUCAUAACACAAGUAUGUGUGUGUGUGUAUGCAUGUCUGUGUGUAUAGAUACAAAUGUAGAUAUACAGUAUAUAAAACCUUACAGCACAACACAGUAUAACGUAGCAAGUGAUAAUACCAUACAAUAUAAUAUCCUUAUAUACCACCAUUGAGAUCAAGACACUGGAUCUCAACCAACUUUUGGACAACAGUCCGUUUUACCAACUCCAGUUCACUGGAAGUCCAGAGCAACGUUGCUCUGAGAUCUCUGCCCCUACCAUCAUUCUCUGAGGAAAUACCAGUUGUACUUCCCAUCAGUACUCCAAAUGUUCUUUGUGGAUAGAUUUUUUUCUUCUCACUUCACAAAACCAGGAGCUUCCAGGUUACAUGUACAGCCAAUCAUCAAUAGGCUCCCCAGCUUUGGCAAACAGUUCAUCCCAGAUCACGUCUUCCAUUCAGCAAAAGCAGGUUCACACUUGCAGAUGGUGGAAGAGUCUCCUCUAAGUGCCACUGGCCCUUCUGCCUCCCUUUUUGACUCCCUAUUUGCCUCCUCAUCUUCUCCUGCUGCUAAUGUUAUAAGAAUGAGCUGUUCUUAAUGAGAACACAUGGACACAGGGAGGGAGACAUCACACCCUGGGUCCUGUCGUGGGGGCCGGGGACAAGGGGAGGAAGAGCAUUAGAACCAAUACCUAACGCAUGCGGAGCUUAAAACCAAGAUGAUGGGUUGAUAGGUGCAGCAAACCACCGUGACACAUGUAUACUUAAAGUAAAAACAUAAAAUAAAAUAAAAUAAGAAUGAACUGUUCUCCCACACUCUCACCUUCACCUAUGUCUAGAUGUUGAUCCCUAACUCUCCCUGUAUAAUAAAGAAGAAAAAUUUUGCCAAAAGUGCUCAAAUAUCUCUGGGCAUUCAAAUCAUCCAUUCAGGCUACAAAAUCUGAACUUGUGGAUCACCCAAGCCAUCACCAUCACCCCUAAGUCACCCCCAUCUCCUAUUGCGACUACAACUCCUGGUGGGCUCAAUGCUACAUCUGACUGUGUCAAAUUUCUUCAAGAGGUCUCCCGUUUAUUCGUUCAUUCUCAAAUGUUUGUUGAAUAGCACUAAGAGCUAGGUGCUGGACUGGGUGUGGUGGCUCACAUCUGUAAUCCCAGCACUUUGGGAGGCAGAAGCUGGCGGAUCAAUUGAGGUCAGGGGUUCGAGACCAACCUGGCCAAAAUGGUGAAACCCCAUCUCUACUAAAAACACAAAAAUUAGCCAGGCAUGGUGGCGAGCACCUGUAAUCCCAGCUACUUGGGAGGUUGAGGCAGGAGAAUUGCUUGAACCCGGAAGGCAGAGGUUGCAGUGAGCCGAACUCCUGCCUGGGCAACAAGAGCAAAACUCUGUCAGAAAAAAAAAAGAGCCAGUUGCUGUUUGUCCUAGGCCACAGUAAUCAGGCCAGUAAGUAAAACUGACAAAGACCCUGCCCUCCUGAAUCUUACAUUCUGAUGGGGGAGAAAGAUAAGAUAAUAAACAAAUGCUGCAUAAUAGAGGCUCAUGAGUACAAAAGAUAAAAGCAGAACCAGUGAAGAGAAUAGAGGAGGACCCAGUGGAUAUCACUUCAGAUGUUGAGGGGCUGGUCAGAAAAGCCUUUCUGAAGGGGAGACCCUGGUGGGGGGUUGCAGUGCAAUGUGAGAGCAUGGCAUGAGGGUAUGGCAUGGCAUGAGGCUCACCUAUGAAAACAAUUCUCAAUUCUCCUUGGCAGUGGAAGGCAGUCAUACAUAUUAAACUCCCUUUAUUAUUGCAACGGGGAACAUCUGUCACAUCCUUUUACACCCGUCAACGCAUUUGCUUCUCACAAGUCCAUGGGGUAUGAUUCACAUUUUAAAAUGCUGCAAUGGAAGCCUCAAGAGGGGAAGGGACUACCCAAGGCCAUUCAGAGAAAACCCAGUGGCAGAGCUGGAUUAGAACCCAGAUCUUCUCGUGACCAGCCAAGCACUUCCUAGGAGAAUAGAUCUUGUUAAACAGUCUUAACCUCGGGUAUGUUUGGCUUAAGACUUCCAUCAGAGGUAUGUGCCUCAGAACUGACAAAAGUGCUCACGUACAUAUCACUGUCUGUGCGGCCCUCAUUCCCUUCCAGCGUGACCUGAAACUGCUGCAUGGUUACAGAUGGGCUAAUGAGUUACUGAAUUACCAUAAGUACCCUACUCUUUGGUAAAUAGGAGCUGGCUAUAGUCAAUAAAAAACUCAAGAGAAAGGAGAUAAAGAGCAGCAUGUGCAAACUACGUGUACUACAUUUGCUAAAACUAUGAGUCCUAUGUAACUUUGGACAAAUCUUUUUCCAUCUUUGACCUCAGUUUUCUCUUUUGUAAAAAGAACAUUUUAAAUUAGGUGAUCACCAAGUUUCUCUCUGUUUCUGGCAUCCUACAAUCCCAUGCAAACAUAUAGAUUUGAGUAAGGACCCUAAGCAAGCCCUUUGGGGAUGUGCCACGUUGUACCUGGCUAGAGAGACUCUCCUGGCUAGAGAUACUACCUUCCGUGAUUCCUUUUCCCAACAGAGGUGCUCUUCCAAGGCUAAAACACUUCCUAAGAUUUUCUGAGGUAAAGGAUGAAGUAUGUUGAUGUCUUCUAAAUCAGUGUUCGUUGUUGAUUGGAAAACUGAGGCAAGGUAAAGCCUUUGGGGAUGAGGAUGAGAAUAAAAGGGAGGAGCAGGAAGGGGGCAGAAAACAAGAAAUGGAGAAGAAAGAUAAGGUAAAGAAAAGGAGAUAGAAGUGGUGGUGGUGGGUGAUAGAGGGGUAGGAGCAGGGACAGGAGAUGUCCUAGAAAACUAUUUCCUAAGCUUUGUGAUUUGCUUCUUGUAUAAGGCAUAUAGGCUUCAUUAAUAAGAAAGAGUGUGUGUGUGUGUAUGUGUGUGUGUGUGUGUGUAUUCUGAAGUGUGCAUUAAUCAUACUGGCGAUGAGCAGAUGAAAUCAGUGAUUCCCCCAACUUCCUCUGAAAUUUACUGGAAAGACCACAUAUAUGAUGUUUCUUCAAACUGGCACCAAUAUAUUCAUCCUUCGUGCAGCGGUUUCCUAUUAAGGUUUCCAGGAUAGUUUCCUAUUAUGAUCACUCCUCACUCUGGGAUGCACCCCCAUAUUCUCUUUUCUUAUCCAACCCCAUCACUGGUGUCUCCUGCUCUCCUGGAGGAGCAAGUUUUGUUUCAUCCCCUUAGCUAGCUUCAGCCAGGGAAAGCUUUCAUGUCUCAGCUUUCACACUCUUUCUGUAAGCAUUCUCUGUGAAGGAAAAAACAUGUUUUCCUCUGCUUUCACACUACAACAUCAACACAGAAGGCUUCGGUGACCAAAUGUGUCCAAGUUUUUCCCCACAAAUCAAGCAAACAGUCAAUUCUGCAGCAGAUACCAGCUGGGUGUCCUUGAAUUCAAUUCAAUCCUGACACCAUCUGCCUGGAAGUAGCAUCAGAUCCCACAAGUUGAGGGUUCAGCCCCACAAGACUGCCUCCCUCUACUUCAGACACCAAUCUCAAUUAAAAAGUUGUCACCUAUACUUCUAUCUGAUCAGUUAUAAAUUGGGGACCCCUUGACCCCCUUUUGGGAUUUGAUUAAUUUGCUAGAGCAGCUCACAGAACUCAGAGAAACAGUUGAUUACAUUUACCAGUGUAUCAUAAAGGAUAUUACAAAGAAUACAAUGAAGAGGUGCAUAGGGCAAGGUAUGGGGGAAGGGACAUGGAGCUUCCAUACCUACCCUGAGUGCACUGCCCUCCAGGAACCCCUACGUGUUCAGCUAUCCAGAAGUACCUGGAACUCAGUCCUUUUGGGUUUCUAUGGAAGCUUCAUUACAAAGGCAUGAUUGAUUACAACAUUGGUCAUUGAUCAUCAAUUCAACUUUUAUCCUUUUUCUCCUUCCCAGUGGCUGGUGGAUGGGGCUGAAAUUCCCAACUCUCUAAUCCUGCCUUGGUCUUUCCUGUGACUAGCUCCCAUCCUGAAGCUACCUAAGGACCCCCAGCCACCAGUUAUCUCAUUAGCAUACAGAAGGACACAUCACUUGGGAGAGUCCAUGGAUUUUAGGAGUUAUAUCCCAGGAAAUAGGAGGAAGACCAAAUACAUAUUUCACAAUAUCACAUUUGUUAUUCCACUUUCUUCUUUCUGGUUUCUUUUCCCACUGAGGUCUUUCUACUCAUUUGUCUAGGUGCACCUUUACCUGCACCUAGAGCAUUCCAAUCCUACAGAAAUAAUCUUCAGAUUGGCUGUGUGUACCUCUCUGGGGAACCAAAGACUUUCCAGAGGGAUACACAAAUGUGAAUAAAUUGGGAAUCAUUUUCCAUAUCCUUGACUCCACAAAUGCUCUUGAACUUGCUCCCCCCCAAGCCUGCCAUUCUGCAUCUGCACUUCCCUUUCACAGACAACAUUUUCCCUACUUGACAAAAUAUGGCAUAUUUCUUGCCCACUCAGAUGUUGCUUUGGAACAUACUUUGAUGAGUAUAAAUCUCUAGGAUAUCAAACAAGGGGACAAUUCAAUAAUGCAUGGCUCCUGAAACGAACCCUUUGACAGCAAAACAAUGAGGUCUUUAGUAAGAAUUAUUGAAGGGCCAGAACCUUAUUUCUUCCAAAACAAAAAACAAAAAUAAAAACAAACAAACAAACAAACAAAAAACAAAAAACAAUGAAUGGCAUAGCUCUGUGCCUUUAACUGUGUGUCUAUAUACCUGUCUGUGAGUUAGGAAUGGAUGGUUGCCACAGGGAUGCACCAAUUUGAGUUGAAAUUUUAAGUCAUAUUUUUUUUCUGGCAAAAAAAAUAAAAUAAAAUAAGGCUGGCUGAUUGUCUGACUGUGCGAACUGCCUUUGCCAAAGUGAUUUUAUAUGACUGGGCAUUUUCAAAAACUGAAUGAGUUCUAAGGUUAUGACAAAAAUAUUUAAAGCACAUAUACAAUAUGUCAGAAAUUACAACAUCUGCAACUAUUAAACUUAUAAUGAAAAUGUUUUAGAUGUUGUGAUAGAUUGUAUUUUUGUUUCUAUUUGCUGC
ensembl:lncRNA